CCCCGAUUGGUUCCGAUUGGCCCUGAAUGGCUCCGAUCGUCUCCGAUUGGCCCCGAUUAUCCCCGAAUGUUUCCGAAUGACCCCGAAUGUUUCCGAAUGUCCCCGAUUGUCUCCGAUCGUCUCCGAUUGGCCCCGAUUAUCCCCGAAUGGCCCCGACUGUCCCCGAUUGGCCCCGAUUAUCCCCGAAUGACCCCGAUUGGCCCCGAAUGGCCCCGAUUGGCCCCGAUUGGUUCCGAAUGUCCCCGAAUGACCCCGAAUGUUUCCGACUGUCCCCGAAUGACCCCGAUUGGCCCCGAUUGUUUCCGAUUGUUGCCGAUUGACGCCCCCAACUCAGGGACCCCCCGGGAAGGACGGAGUGCCGGGACACCCCGGGCAGCGCGGAGACGGGGGUCCAUCGGGUGAGUCCGGCCCUAUGGGGGAACGGGGUCAUCCCGGCCCCCCCGGCCCCCCCGGGGAACAAGGACUGACCGGAGCCACAGGAAAAGAGGGAACCAAGGUGAGGGGGGGGGGACCCUAUAGGGAUUAAUGGGGGACCCUAUAGGGAUUAAUGGGGGACCCUAUAAGGAUUAAUGGGGGACCCUAUAACACUUAUGGGGU
rnacentral:lncRNA from 1 species